rnacentral:pre_miRNA from 1 species
AAGGUACUCUCUCCGUCCGAAAAUACUUGUCAUCAAAAUAGAUAAAAAGGGAUGUAUCUAGAACUAAUAUACAUCUAGAUACAUCCCCUUUUAUUCAUUUUGAUGACAAGUAUUUCCGGACGAAGGGAGUAGUAG